rnacentral:rRNA from 1 species
UUUCCAGACUCCUACGGGAGGCAGCAGUGGGGAAUAUUGGACAAUGGGGGGAACCCUGAUCCAGCGACGCCGCGUGAGUGAAGAAGUAUUUCGGUCUGUAAAGCUCUAUCAGCAGGGAAGAAAGAAAUGACGGUACCUGACUAAGAAGCCCCGGCUAACUACGUGCCAGCAGCCGCGGUAAUACGUAGGGGGCAAGCGUUGUUCGGAAUGACUGGGCGUAAAGGGUGCGUAGGCGGUGUGGCAAGUUAGAAGUGAAAUACCUAGAGCUUAACUCAGGUGCUGCUUCUAAAACUGCUAUACUUGAGCGCAGUAGAGGAAAGUGGAAUUCCUAGUGUAGCGGUGGAAUGCGUAGAUAUUAGGAGGAACAUCAGUGGCGAAGGCGACUUUCUGGACUGUAACUGACGCUGAGGCACGAAAGUGUGGGGAGCAAACAGGAUUAGAUACCCUAGUAUA